UCUGUAACCCACAGCUGCAUCACAGCAGAGGGAAUCCAAAGAUCCUGACGCAGUUACCCAAAGGGGCCCGCCCUGAGGGAAGGGAGGACCCACCCUGGAAGUAUCUAGUGGAUUUGAGACAUUGGUAACCCCCUCUUACCUAUUGUGAUUUGGGUUUCCCUAUUAGGGGAAAGCUUUGGACUAAGCUGAUCCUGGGGGUGGGGUGGAUGAGAGGAAGAGGCCCAGGAAGGACAGCCUUGGUUGCCAGACUACUGGUAGCCCAAAGGGCCCAGGGUUGGAGCCUGGUGGGUGGGAGGGCCUGGGCUCCCCUCCCCACAAUCUCCUUGUCAGUCAGGAGCUGCAGCUAUGACCACUAGGCCACACACCCCCAUGAGGACUGUUACAGGCACCUUCCCCAGCACCUCCUCUGUUCCCUGCCCAAGCCUGGCUGCUGGAGAGUGGGGCCGAGUGAGCUGGAAACAUGCCAGGGGAAGGGCAUAGUAGGAGAAGGGCGGAGACCCUCUCCCUCACACCUGCAGGUCUGAUCCUGCUACCAAUCAAAUAUUUUGGGAAAACUUCCUUGGCUUCGGUGAAACAGGACUGGACAAAAGUGAUUGAACUAAACUCUUAGAUACUUUGCCUGUAAAAAGUCCACCUGCUAACUGCAUAAAGGGCUAGGCUGCAGGGGGCAGAAUUAGAAGGAGGCUGUCUACAAACUGGAGAUAGUUGAGUCAGCCAGCAUUGAGCCCAGGUGAGGAGCAACUGUACUCUGAAUAUAGCAGCUGUCCAGCUAAUUGGAAGAAUUUGCAAUUGGUGGAGACUUCAUACAUUAUAUAUCCUUGCUUGCUUUCUGGCUAUAAUAUGAAUGCACUGCAUCUCACCACAGA